rnacentral:lncRNA from 1 species
GUAAUAUACUAUACCAAGCAAGAUAAAAGUAAAUUGAUACAUAGACAUGUUAACCUUAGUCAUGCUACAUAGUAUCAAAGACAAAAAUAAAAACCGGGCACAUGCCUGCAAUCCCAGCACUCAGGAGGCCGAAGCAGGAGGAGCCCCAAGAGUUCAAGGCCAGCCUGUACUGAGUAGCGAAACCUCGUCUCAAAGACAAAAAUCAGAUUGUAAAAGGAGCCAGAGAGAAAAGGCAGAUUAUCUACAAAAAGCCAACGAGACUCACAGCAGUCUUCAAAAUGGCAAUCAAAGCCAGAAGGAAGCAUAGUGCCCUUGGUGCCCUAGAAAAACAUUACAGACCUGGGAUGCAAAUCAGGAAAAUAAAGACACCUGCAGAAAAACAGAAAAUGUGAAUGUUUACCCAAAACUCAGCACGACGCAUUGAAAAGCUGCAGUUCAGGAAGACAGAGCGGACCCCAGCAAGUGUGGAGGCCGAGGUGUGGUGAGUGGACAGUAACAACUGCAGAGACGGCUGUGCACACUGGAACUGAUGGGCGGCAGGGCUGGGGGUUAGGGCGGAGCGAGAUUUACCGCGCUUCCCUCCAGCAGCGCGUGAGCGGGACGCGGCAUCGGCAUCGCAGGCUCGCUCGGAAGGGCGUGGAACGGUCUUUAACCUCAGACUGUAAAGUAGGAAUCCAGCCCUUAAGUACAGCCACAAGAGAACGCAAUACGGCCUACACCUCCGAAACCUGUGAAGAUGGAUAAAUGAGAAGCGAAGCAGAGGCUGUCCGCAGGCAGGGCCGCUUCCGGGCAGCCCUCUGAGGGCCUCAGCUUCUCCCAGAUGGAUGUGCCUGGACCCCAUCCACAGACUCGGUCGACCCCACCUAUGCUUCCAGAGGUCCUUCUGCCACUUUUCAUUCAAUGCAGGGAGCGUGAAUGGCCUUUCGGCAGAGCUAAGGGUGACCACAGAUGGGCGUCAGGAGGCAGGCGACAGAGCAUGGGCCCUGGGGCCCCGUCAGCCCUCUGAGCGCGGCCGUGCAGCUCCCGGCUCCCAGGGGCCCGCCUCGGCCUGUGCCGAAGAACAGGCCUCUGCCACCAAGUGAGCUGUGUGACAGCAACCUCAUGACAGGGCCUCCUCUCUGCCAUCGCCGAGUACAGUGGGGAUGCAGGGCAGAGGGGAGCCGCCCGGGCCCUCCGCCUGCCUCACCGCACCCGGUUCUGAUCCUGCCGGGACCCUGGGGACCCAGCUGCGGAAGGGGACCCGCCACCCCGAGGACCAG